CACACAUCAUGACGUACUUUAAGAAAAAUGCAUUGCCCUCUCAAAGGACAAGUCAACAAUUUAUGUUGCUCUGUCCUUGAGAAUCUGAAAUGUACCACAAAAACAUAUUCCAGGUCUUUUGUUUUUUCUGGGAUUAAAAUUCAGAAUCUUGUUCAGAAAUGUCCAGGUUUGGAAAAUCACAAAUGAAUUGUAGAAAAAUAGAACCAUAACCACAGAUUACACGACCCUUAGCAAAGGUUAUGUCCAAAACACUCUUUCUUGAACUUGGGAAAGGCAUUCCUAACCACCUGGAAGAAUUCAGAUUUUGCCCCAACCCCAGCACAUUUUCUCCAGACAUAAACUCAGUGAAGGAGAAAGUCUCCCUCUGGGAAAACACAGCUGAAAAAGAAUCAUAACCACCGACCCUGGUUUCAAAUGGGGCACCUCCAUCCAGGGCCUGUCUCCUGCUUCUUCAGACCUACUCUGUUAUUCUCGGUUGAGAGGGUGCCUGUGGAUGGAUGAGCCUUGACAUCACAAUGAACACCUACAUCACCCAUUGAGCUACAGAUGCAGGUUUGUUCGUAAGGAGGAUUUCAACUGGAAGGUAUUUUACCUCGUGAUAUGCGACGCCUCUUCCAUGCCUACCGUCCUAGAUUGCUAAUUUUUCUUUUGUGUUUAUUACUGAAUAUUUCAGCACAAGGCUAUCAACUUGGUGAAACAGGGAUUAAAAAUAGAAAUAGACACUAAUGAGGGCUCUGGAAGAAAAAAGAGAACAGAAAGACUUUGCCUAUUUAGAUCUCAAAAAGACAUCAACCACCAGCUGCCUGAGACCUGGGGAAAAAUCAACUCAUUCAGUACCAUUUGCCGAAAAAAAAACAGUUCCUGCAUCGAAUUGAC